GCGGGUGUAGUUCAAUGGUAGAACUGCUGCUUCCCAAGCAGCCGGCGCGGGUUCGAUUCCCGUCACCCGCUCCA
rnacentral:tRNA from 1 species